UACGUAGGGCGCAAGCGUUAUCCGGAAUUAUUGGGCGUAAAGGGCGCGUAGGCGGCCUGCUAAGUCGAACGUGAAAUCCCUGGGCUCAACCCAGGAACUGCGUCCGAUACUGGUUGGCUUGAAUCCGGGAGAGGGACGUGGAAUUCCAGGUGUAGCGGUGAAAUGCGUAGAUAUCUGGAGGAACACCGGUGGCGAAGGCGACGUCCUGGACCGGCAUUGACGCUGAGGCGCGAAAGCCAGGGGAGCAAACGGG
rnacentral:rRNA from 1 species